AAUGAUACCCGGGUAGUCCACGCCGUAAACGAUGAGUGCUAAGUAUUAGAGGGUUUCCGCCCUUUAGUGCUGCAGCUAACGCAUUAAGCACUCCGCCUGGGGAGUACGGUCGCAAGACUGAAACUCAAAGGAAUUGACGGGGGCCCGCACAAGCGGUGGGGCAUGUGGUUUAAUUCGAAGCAACGCGAAGAACCUUACCAGGUCUUGACAUCCUCUGACAACUCUAGAGAUAGAGCGUUCCCCUUCGGGGGACAGAGUGACAGGUGGUGCAUGGUUGUCGUCAGCUCGUGUCGUGAGAUGUUGGGUUAAGUCCCGCAACGAGCGCAACCCUUGAUCUUAGUUGCCAGCAUUAAGUUGGGCACUCUAAGGUGACUGCCGGUGACAAACCGGAGGAAGGUGGGGAUGACGUCAAAUCAUCAUGCCCCUUAUGACCUGGGCUACACACGUGCUACAAUGGAUGGUACAAAGGGCUGCAAGACCGCGAGGUCAAGCCAAUCCCAUAAAACCAUUCUCAGUUCGGA
rnacentral:rRNA from 1 species